rnacentral:tRNA from 1 species
UCCCUGGUGGUCUAGUGGUUAGGACUUUGCACUUGCCUGCAGGGGGCACGGGUUCAAUCCCUGGUCAGGGAA